UUAGUCUUUAUGCAUAUGUAUUAUUUAAGUAUACCUCAGUUUUUUAGCUUUAAUUAUUUGAGAAAAAGGUACUUUAUUAUUUUCCUAGAAAGAUGAUAUUUUAUUUUAAUAGUUUUACAUGAAAUUAUAUAUAUUCCAAUAUUAUAUUUUUUCUAAGAUAAGAAAAUUGUAAAAUAUGAUAGUCUACCCUACAAAGUAUAAGCUUUUUUGUUACCCCCACCAUACAUUCUCUUUAUUUAAAGGGUACGCUAUUAUAUUACAAUAGUAUUAUUAUAUUAAGGUUGUAUAAUUGAUAUUUUUGUAAAGAAAACCAUAUAUAUUAUUUUUUGUUAAUGGAAGGAUCCAUUUAAGUUCUGAAAAUUAUGCAUGUAUAGAUUAAGAAGGACUGUAUAAGUGUAAUAUAUGUGAUCUGAGUAGACUUUAAAAUUCAAAGUAUAUACAGUGCUAAAUCCUGAAAACAUAGCUAUAAUCAUAGAGAGAGAGAUCGAGAUCAGAGAGGAGUGCCAUACAGCAGCCUGAAAGAGUAUUUGAUUAUCGUGAAAUAUCUGAGCUCGAGGCUGGCACAUGGCACAUGGCUCUUGAAUAACAUCCGAUGUGUCUCUCUUGUUUAUAAGAAUUUAAAACCCAUUCAAAGAUUGUGAUUUAUGCGUCCCUGGGGCUGUGAACCAGAAUGAAAGAGCCCAGGACAUUGAUGAAGACAAGGAAAGAAGACACCUGAGAAGAACCAGAAGAAUAAAAGUGACAGGUUGGAAUACAACCAUUUGGGACAUUUAUUUUUGUAGAUGAAAGUUUAUUUUACUGUAGAAUGUGUAAUGAUCUUCAACUCAAUAUAUCAACAACAAGUGUAAACUUAUUAAGUGGUUUGAUAUUAUCCCCUUCUCUCAGUUACCUCUAAGGCUGAAAUUAGAUCAUAAGUAACCUGUAUGAAUAUAUAUAUUUUAGUGUGGGUUCUAAAGAGUACUUUUGGAGAAACCACACACUUGUAAUAACAGAUAGUGCCCCUCUGGAUAAAGUCUGAGUGGUUCCCAGAGCAAAGAGUAGUAAUAAGGUCUUUGCUAAGGAGCAUAGAAAAGGGAGGGCGCAAUAUAUUGGUGGCAGCGAGUGUGGGAUAUGAUCAAAUUGAUUUCAGCCUAAUGUACUGAGAGAAGAGAGAUUGAAUAAUACUGUUUACAUUUUUUUUUGAAGUUGUAGUUAUUUUGUGAUUUUCAAAAUGAGUUCAGAGAAUCUGCAUGCAGAUGAAUCAAGUGUAGAUAAGAAGGAACGUGAGAAAGAUUCUGAUGUAGAAAUGCAUGCCUUGCAAAAUGAAAUGACUGAAUUAACUAUAAAUCUAAACAAAAUGUAUAUUGCUAUGGCAGAACUAAGAGAGGACAGAGAUAA